rnacentral:rRNA from 1 species
GACGAACGCUGGCGGCGCGCUUAACACAUGCAAGUCGAACGGAAAGGCCUGCUUUCCCUUGUGGAUUGCGGGUACUCGAGUGGCGAACGGGUGAGUAACACGUGAGUGAUCUGCCCCCAACUUGGGUAUAAGCCUGGGAAACUGGGUCUAAUUCCCGAUAGGACUGCAGGGUGGUGCCUGUGGUGGAAAACGAUUUUCUAGUGGUUGGGGAUGGGCUCGCGGCCUAUCAGCUUGUUGGUGGGGUAAUGGCCUACCAAGGCGGCGACGGGUAGCCGGCCUGAGAGGGUGGACGGCGACAUUGGGACUGAGAUACGGCCCAGACUCCUACGGGAGGCAGCAGUGGGGAAUAUUGGACAAUGGGCGGAAGCCUGAUGCAGCGACGCCGCGGGGGGGAUGACGGCCUUCGGGUUGUAAACUCCUUUCGACCGCGAGGAAGCCACCUGGUUGGAAGGGUGGUGACGGUAGUGGGAGAAGAAGCACCGGCUAACUACGUG